rnacentral:misc_RNA from 1 species
GUCAUGGCUCCCACUUGCCUUUGUAUUCUACCUCUUUUUCUUUCCCUUUAUAAGUCUGUAAAACUUCAAAAUUUGAUUUAAUUUCAUUUUUUUUGCCAGAAAUUUUUUUUAUUGAUCAAUUUUCAUUAACUUCCUAAAUGAUGAAAAGUCAAGAGAUAUAUUUUUCAUUAUCAAGUGUUGAUUCUUAAUAUGGCUUAAUAAAUAAGCAAAAUAAGAUUGAUUACAACUAGAAAUUAAGGAAUUGAUUACUACUAGAAAUUGAGGACAGAGUUUAAUCCAAAAUACUUAGUUAUGGAACAACUAUUCGUCACAUGAACUAGCUCGGGAAAAGCUAACUUUUGAUCUGAAACGUACAAAAAGAUUGGUAGCAAUAGCAUGAAUUAAUUCAAGAUUGCAGCAAGUAGUUGCAGUAAUACACAACCACCUAUUCUGGUUUGCAUUUUAUGUUUCAAGCUCCUCUUUAUUCAAUGAAGUUGAAGCCCACCAAGCUAUAUAUAAACCCCAUCUCAAUAAUUAUUUUUCCAAUAACAAAAACUAGCUAGUUAUAUAGUUACAUUUAAUAUAUAUAUUAAAUUCUUGGAAUAAUGCCAAUGGCUACUAUUUCAAUUCCAUCCAUUACCAAGAUGGUGUUUUUCCUUUUAGCAGUAGCUGCAGGUGUUGUUCUGCAAUCUGAGGCUCGAGCAUUCUUUGUGUUUGGUGAUUCACUCGUGGACAGUGGCAAUAACAACUACCUUGCAACAACUGCCCGUGCAGAUUCUCCUCCUUAUGGAAUUGAUUACCCAACUCAUCGUCCCACAGGCCGUUUCUCUAAUGGCCUUAACAUUCCAGACAUUAUCAGUUGUGUUUUGCAGUGUUUCUGAUUAUAUAUAGCAUUUACAUUAAUGGGAUUUGCUUUUCUUAGUAGAAGGUAAUGAAAUAAAUAUGUAUUUCAAAUUCAUCACUUGUGUGAAUUUUAUGCAUUUCCAGGUGAGAGAAUCGGAGCAGAACCUGUAUUGCCAUACCUGAGUCCAGAACUAACUGCACAAAGGUUGCUUAAUGGUGCCAAUUUUGCUUCUGCUGGGAUUGGAAUCCUCAAUGACACUGGGGUUCAAUUCCUGAACAUUAUCAGAAUGGAUAAACAGUUGGAAUGCUUUCAAGAAUACCAGCAGCGGGUUCGUGAUCUUAUUGGAGGUGAUCGAACUAAGCAACUUGUAAAUGGAGCACUAAUCCUGAUCGCUGUCGGUGGCAAUGAUUUUGUGAACAACUAUUACUUGCUUCCCUAUUCUGCUAGGUCUCGCCAAUUUCCUUUGCCAGAUUAUGUCAAGUACCUCAUUUCAGAGUACAAAAAAUUAUUAAUGGAACUAUAUAAAUUGGGAGCAAGAAGAGUUCUCGUGACAGGUACUGGACCACUGGGCUGCGUUCCAGCAGAACUAGCUUUGCGGGGCACAAAUGGUGGUUGCUCUGCUGAACUUCAGCGAGCUGCUUCCUUGUACAACCCUCAACUUGUUGAGAUGCUCAAAGGACUGAACAAAAAAAUUGGCAAAAAUGUGUUCAUCGGUGCAAAUACACAAAGAAUGCACACGGAUUUCAUCAGUAAUCCCCAAGCAUAUGGAUUCACUACAUCACAGGUUGCCUGUUGUGGACAGGGACAAUACAAUGGUCUUGGACUAUGCACAGCAGCAUCAAACUUAUGUCCAAACAGAGGUGAGUAUGCAUUCUGGGAUCCGUUCCAUCCAUCUGAGAAGGCAAAUAGGCUGCUUGUUGAAGCGAUGUUCUCUGGCUCUACCAAUUACAUGGUCCCUAUGAAUCUUAGAACCAUCAUGGCCUUAGAUGCCAGGAAUUGAUCCAAUUUGUUAACGACUUAGUGUUAAGUAUCAACAAUGUGUAACAUUUGUUGUCUUCAUUACAUGAUUUCUGAGGAAUAAUUUAUCUGCAUUCAAGCUGAUAACAGGAAUAUUUUACUGUAAUUUUCUUUCACUUGUUUCCAUUUCCUAAUGGAAAAGCAAUUAGCAAUUGAUGUUUCUCCCUUCCAAGUUUGUGUUAUUUCCAUCCCUUCUUUGUUUGUAUCUCUCAAUGUAAUUUAAAAUGCUGAACAUGUGCAAGUAAAUAUCAAGAUCAAGC